rnacentral:tRNA from 1 species
GGCAGCAUGGCCGAGUGGAAAGGCAGGGGACUGCAAAUCCUUUUCCCCCAUGAAUAAGGAAAUGGGUCAGGACUUGCUCAAUUUGCCUAUUAUACUAUAGAAAUGUAUAUUUAAAUUUCUUUUGUUGCCA